UUUAGUUCAUCCACUGUUAAUGUUCACAUUAACUGUAUCCAACUAAGAUAGGAUUCCAGAAGGUGAACAAAAAAUAUAAUUAUUUAUCAAGACAGUUUAGCAAUAACUGUAAACAAGUGCUUGAGUCCAAGGCAGCUAUGCUGGGAAAGUAAUUAAAUAAAAUCAGAGAACAAAUUUCUAUUCAUCAAUUGGAAUUACCCGAUUAGAAAAAUUCAAAUCAAGCUCAGCAAAUUAUCUGCAAAGAGAUGGCCACUUGUGACAGACUAGAUGAGGCUUCUAUUCACCCGGCUUUGUCACUUAUCUGCAUUUGACAGUUUUUCUCCAUGACGGGAUAAACAGAUUAAUAAAUCAUCUAAACAUUCUCUGUCUUAAUGCUUUCAUCUUUAAAACACACUGACACCAUUUAGCCCUCGCGUUGAGUUUUCAUUAUUCACCGAGACUGACAGAAUCAAAAUUGGGCUUCAGAAUAUGCGAUCUGACUGAAUGGCUCAACACAUCUGUUCCUAUAACUUCACUGGAGAGAUGCCUGACCUCCUAAAUGACAUGUGUUCCUUUAUCCUCAGACAGGAGGGAGACAACGCCGGGGCUGCAAGGACAGGUAAAGGCUAAGCCGAAACCAAGGAGACUUCCUGCACAGAAGCUAACUUUGAAGCAAGACCUGAAAACAUUCUUCGUACAGUCUCACUUUCUCUAACCAAGUCCCCCACACAGAUUUCCUUCAAGAAAGUGAGAUCCCCUGAGAGAAGAAAUGGCGACUGUGACCAAUACAGAGAAGCAUGGAAAGAUCCCCAGGCACAGCAAAGUGAGCAAAGCCAAGAAAACGAUACACACAAUGACUACAUAAUAAACAUCAAACUUGUUGUUGGUGAACAGUGGAUGAGUAAAGCUGUUACUGUACCAGAGCAACAGCAAAAGAACAAGAUUUCAUAAAAAGGUAAAGCUCAGGACAGACAAAUGAUUCCUAAUCUUUCCCUGAAGGGGAAGUUCCCAUCUCCCAGAUAAGAGGGAUACCGAAGAUCUCAGGGGAACUACUCCUCCGUGACCUGAAACCAGAUUUCUAUUCUUGCAGUUGUAUUUCUCAGAUCUCCAAAGCAUUACAGAGGCAGCAUACUGUAGCUCUCUUGGUGUAUAGGGUUAACAAUUCUGUCUAGGACUAUACUUUGAAUAGUCAAGUCAAUGGCAAGGACAUUUAGAGAUUCCAUUCAGAUGACACUGAUACCCCUUGACAGCAUCUACUUCUCAUCAGGCAAAUUGCAGUGCUCUCAUUACUCUAACGAGUAAGAAGCAUUCAAGAAUUAGUUUCUCAUCUCCUUGGUUACGAGAAGCAAAAACAACCACAUUAACUUCCAUGACAGAGAAGACUCCAGAAGAGGCUGAUUAUAGGGCUCUAGCAACAUCUGGUGGCUGAGGAUGGACUCUGGCUAAGAGGAACGCCCCAUGCUCUGGAUUGUGGGAGAAUGAAUGAGAAUUCUUGAUCAGUUAUUUUCACAAAAUAAAAGGCAGAGGGGAAGGAAGUGGGGGAGAUAAACUCUGUCAAUAAGAGUCAGAAGCAUGCCUGGUUAAGGGAAUAAA